rnacentral:lncRNA from 1 species
AUCAAAGCGGUCUCUGGUUAUUUUGUUUUCAUCUCAAGUCUAUUCUAAAGAUCAUAGAUCAGAUAGAGAUAGAAAAAGAGCGGGUGGAGAGACAAAUCUUAGAGAAAUAAGGAGAGAGAGAAAAGGUAUUUUUUCACUUUUUCUUUUCUUUUCUUCUUAUUCUUUUCUUUUCUUCUUUCUUUAGCCGAACAGGGGAGGAUGGGUGGUUCGUGGUUCUUGGCAGCUGGUGGUGGAAGAUCGAUGAUAGAUGACGAUGCAGGC